UUUCUUAAUGCUUGCUUUCCCAAGUAGGCUGAAAGCUUUGGGAGGCUAAGAGGCAACAUUUUGUAAUUACCUGAUAUUCUUAGUGCCAAGAGAAGGCUGGCUCUGGGCAGGCCGUCUGCCCAUGUGCUCGACAAGGCCUGUAUUUAUGUAUCUGCAGGCAGGCCCCUCAUUUGUAGGCGACUAGGUCUUCUUAGGGAUUCCUGGCCAUACUAGGAGGUCAUCUGCAGGGACGCCUGCACUGAUGGGGAGUCCUUGAGAGCCAGCUGACUACAGCUCUGGGAUGAUGAGGGUGGGAAAAUUGUCCAGUUAGAAGAAAUACUGAAAACCUCAAUGGACAAACUGGAACUUCAGGAAGAAUGGUGGUGGACAGAAAAAAGGAAAAAAAAAAGAGAAGAGUGAAUGAACCAAAGUGAAUGAGCCUCAUUUCUAGAUCUACAGACUUUUGAUAACACCUGGCCUGUUUAUAUCACAAAGCUGCUAGGCUUUACAAAACAAAUUCAAAACAAAAACAACAAAAAGCCAUGAAGAGCUAUCUACGUGCAAGAGGUUUUAUAUUUAGUUGUGCUUUAUUUUACUAACCAAACUGAAGACUAGCUUGCUGGGUUCCAUUUCACACUGCCAGCUCUUCACUGUGUGCAUUCAUGAGCCUGAUGCUAAUGAGACCUAGAGUGAUCUCAUAGGCAACUUGCAACGUUCAGGCUGGACAGGGUUCACAGUCUCUGCUUUGAAUCAGACAUUCACAGGAUCAGACAUGUGAUUCAGGGACUUAGCAAGAGGGAGUGAUCAGUGCAUUGGCCUCUGUUUUAUGACAAACCACCAAAGGACAUGUGUCCUCACACAACAGGUACACUUGCUUUGGCAUACAGAACCUCCCCAGAUGGCUGUGCUGGAGGCAAAUCUCCAAUUGGAUAGCCUCAUUUCAAGUGCUCCACAGGCACAACGAACAACCGACUACCAUGUGGGCCACUGCAGCCCUAGGAAAUACGAAUGAUGGGCUCUGAACCAAUCUAAGUGGAAUGACUUUAAACAGAAAUAAUGACUCAAGUUCUCGAACUUAAGUAUGCUUCAGUAUCAUGUGCAGAGCUUGUUAAAACAUAAAUCGCUGGACUCCACACCCAGAGACUGAUUCAAUAGUUCUGAAGUGGGGAUCCCAAAUUUCCUUUUCUAAUAAUUUUCCAGGUGAUGCUAAUACUGCCCUUCAAGAGCCACGGGUGAUGAGGCUUUGGGAAAUCAGCUUUGUAACUUUUAAGUGGAAAAAGGGACAUAUAGUUCCUAAACAUGAUAUAAAUCUCUCCUCCAUUACAGUAACAAUUAGUGCUAUAGUAGAAAAGACAGGUGGUCAAAUUGUACUUAAGAUUACAAUUUGGUCACUAAAUGGAAUAACA
rnacentral:lncRNA from 10 species